CUCCUCCUCCUGAAUAUUCUCUUUCUUCUUCUCUUUUGAACUCCUUGACCGUUUAAACCCUCUUAUUUCUUCCUCCAAACCUAAAAAACCCAACUUUUUCCAUGGAAGAAAAUUCCGAUGCGCCGCUCCACAUGCUCCGGUCUCUGGAGCUUCGGCUCCUCCGCUGUACUCUACCCUCCGAUAAUCCCCUGCCGACAUUUCCACCGUCCGAUGAAGUUCCUCCCAAUCUCCAAACCCUCAUUUCCGAUGUCGUUCAAUUGAUCGAGUCAGGGAACUAUGUCGAAGCUCUGUCUUCCGCCGCAGUUAAAUCUAUCUUCAGCUUCAACUCGGCCACCGCGUUCUCUAGCUCGGCUGAUUCAGCCGAGUUAUUCUAUUCCGAGUUAGUCCCCCAGAGCGUCGUCGUUUUCGUGAAUGGGAAUUCCGAUUCGGAAAUUGAUGAAUUGGAGAAAUGUUUCAGGGCUUUUCUUGUUAUGGCCAUCGCCGUCGCGGCUUUGCUGGCUUUUACUCAAUCAAAUGUUACUGGUCCAGUGGAAAAAAUGCCAGCGAUGCCAUUGUUGCCAAUUAAUGAUAAUUGGAUAGAGUGGGAAUUAUGGGCACAAAAGGACAUAAUGUCGGUUGGUUCUGAUGUUCGAGGAAAAUUCUCAAAUCUCCAGUAUAUAGUUCUGUCAAAGAUUUUACUGAUGAAGACGAAAGAUCUGUUGCUAGACAGCAGUAUCACUACUGCUGCUUUGAGAAGUAUUUGUUGGUGGCUUGCUAGGGUGCUGCUCAUUCAUCAGAAACUGUUGGAUGAAUGUUCAUCCACUGUAUUUGACCUCUUACAAGUAUAUUCACAUGAAAGUUUACGACAUUUUGGUAGUCUAGGCAAAGUGACAAAUUAUUGGGGUCAAAGGCUAUCGGAAGAAGAUGCUUUAACUAUCGUAUCCAUGCUCCAUUUAGAGGUGGGGAUGAUGGAAGUCACAUAUGCACGGGUAGAUUCUUCCAGACUGCACUUUGAAACAGCUCAAAAACAAUCAAAACUUGAUUUUUCUGUUAGUGGAGCUCUUGGAUUCCGCACCAUGCAUCAGGUGGAACCCAAGGCUCAGUUGCUGCUUGUAACGGGCAAAAGCAGUGAUAGUACCACUGGAUCAGUUAGCCAUGAGAUGCAGGGUGACAUAACCACCACUAUUGAUGGUACAUCACUUCAGCAUCCUCCUGAAACACAGGAAGCAUCUGACGUGUUGAUGGCCCCUAGAAUUUUAGAAGAUAAAACUUCUGAUAGUGGUGAUCAAGCUGUUCAAAUUUCUAGUAUUUCUGCCACACAGUUGAAGGCAAUCCAACAGGCUGUGAUUUUGGCGCAAUGUCUUUCUAUUGAGAAAAGUGCUCGGAACGAUGAAUUGCAACACUACAAAAUGGCACCAUAUAUGGAGGCAAUAGAUUCUCAACAAUCCUCACCAUUCACAAUUAAAUAUUUUUGCAACAUGUUGCGCGUUCGGUGGGAAUCAACUCGUAGCCGCACAAAGCAGCGUGCACUUUUGAUGAUGGAGAAACUAGUUGAAAGUAUAAGUGAACCUUCUCCUGGUGUUGUGCAGAGGAUGUUUUACUCUUUUGCAGUGAACAUCCCUGGAAUUCCUGCAUUACGCAAGGAGUUUGGUGAUCUUUUAGUCAGCUGCAGGUUGAUAGGAGAAGCUAUCAAAGUUUAUGAAGAUCUUGAGCUUUGGGAUAAUUUGAUAUACUGCUAUAGAAUUUUGGAGAAGAAAGCAGCAGCUGUAGAGCUCAUCAAGAAGCAAUUGUUGGAAAGGCCUAAUGACUCAAGGUUAUGGUGUUCACUUGGUGAUGUUACAAUUGAUGACUCUUGCUAUGAAAAGGCCCUUGACAUUUCAGGGAACAAGUCAGCUCGAGCUCUGCGAUCCCUUGCUCGCAGCGCAUACAACAGGGGAGACUAUGAGAAGUCAAAAGUUCUAUGGGAGUCAGCAAUGAAACUGAAUUCCUUGUAUCCAGAUGGCUGGUUUGCACUUGGUGCCGCUGCUCUGAAAGCUAGGGAUGUUGAAAAGGCGUUGGAUGGGUUUACACGUGCUGUUCAACUUGAUCCUGAAAAUGGAGAGGCUUGGAAUAAUGUAGCUUGCCUCCACAUGAUUAGGAAGAAAAGCAAAGAGGCUUUUGUUGCUUUCAAGGAAGCAUUAAAAUUCAAGCGAAACAAUUGGCAGAUGUGGGAGAAUUUCAGCCAAGUGGCUGCAGACGUUGGCAAUUAUAGCCAGGCAAUGGAUGCUAUACAAAAGGUCCUGGACAUGACUAGUAAUAAAAGAUUUGAUGUUGAUUUACUAGAAAGAUUGAUUGUAGAGAUUGAAAAACAGGGUUCAAUUAUCAAUUCUCAUCCUUCAGAGGCAACUGGUGGCAACGACACCCAGCAUAUGCAUGCUACCUCAGAUGUUAAUUAUGCUGACAAAUCAACAAUUUCAGAAGACUUGGCUAGGAAGCAUGAAUUUGAGCAUUUGAUGCAAAUGCUUGGCAAGAUCUUGCAGCAGAUUGUUAAAAGUAGUGGGGGAGCUGAUAUUUGGGGGCUGUAUGCUCGAUGGCACAAAUUGAAGGGGGAUCUUACGAUGUGCUCUGAGGCCCUGCUUAAGCAAGUCAGAGCCUAUCAGGGAUCUGAUUUGUGGAAGGAUAGGGAGCGGUUUGUAAAAUUUGCACAUGCCUCACUGGAACUUUGUAAAGUAUAUCAGGAGCUUUCCUAUCAAACUGGUGGACGUCGAGAACUGUUUGCAGCUGAGAUGCAUGUUAAAAACAUAAUUAAGCAGGGAGCAAAUUUUUCAGACACUCAAGAAUAUCAGGAUCUUUUGGCCAGUCUGAAUCAAGUGCAAAAGGCACUGCAAGAAGACUCAGGUGCUGCGUAAUAUUCCUACGACCUCAUCUGCUGUUACCAUUUCUGCCAUUCUUAAGGAGGUAAAUCUGGUGGAUGGUAAAAAACUACUUUUGACUUUGCAUUCCAUAUCAAAUUCUCUUGCCCUUCAGAGUAUGAGAAGGAAUUUUUGGUAGACAAGAAUAAGCCUUUGAAGCCUCCUUUGCCUAUGUGAACUGCUGGGCUGAUAAUUGAACACAUUCAGACUCAGUUGAUUAACCAUACUACAUUUUCUAGCACUCUGAAUGUGCUGUAAUCACCCGAAAUGCUUUUGAGAGCGCUGUGGAGUAGUAGGCCAUAACUUGAUUAUUGGGACGGAUGCCAUUGGUCAGAGCCAGCUCUUGAAGUUGAAGGGUAAAGGAAAGAUUAUGUUUAAACUCACAAUGAGAGGCAAGUCAGUUGAUGCGUGAAGAACAAUAUCAGAAUUAAAGACACUACUUCAUUGGCUAUACAUAGAGAAGGAAUAUGGUGAAUGUGUCGAUAUAUUGAAGUGAGAGGUAUUUCAUCUUCAGCUCCUCCAUGAGUACAGCCUUUCAUGGUUUAUGGGGAAUGGACUAUCCUGAGAUGUAUUAUGUGGAGAAGACUGUCAUGAUCAUGAGAGGCUGUUCCCCGUGGCCAAUGAGAAGGGCUAAAGUUUGACACACAGCUCUCUGGUUAAGUUAUAGCAGCACCGAGCAACAUCCAGCAAUUCCAGUCCUUGUAAAAAGCCAGGGGCUGAAAUUCAAAGCUGAGCUUUCUAGUUUAAUUGCAAAGGCACUUGCAACAUCUAACAACUCCAGUCCUGGUAGUAAAAGUUGAAUCUAAAGUUGAAUUGACACUCCGAUACAGUCUGCUACUUGCGCCUCUGUGUUCCUGAUCGCAGAAUCAGAAGGGACUCCCUCUUCUACUCUGCGAAGGGCGCAGACCACCCUUAUUACAUAAUAUUGGAAACAGAAUACAGCUUAGGCGCAGACACCGGUGCUCUAGUUUAUGCGGCUAAUCCAGGUGAAAGAGUUAAUAUAUAAUAUUCUCAGCUUCAAUUAGUAUGUUUUCUGAUUUAAUCAUCAAUUGUUCUUUUCAUGUAAUAAGGUUUAAAAUGUAUAGGUCCUUGGUUUGUUGACCAAUGAGUGGUUCUUUUUGCAGUUGAUUCUAAAGCAUUUAUUCAAGCCAGAAAGUGAACAAAGUUACCGGUUAAUGUAUACUUGGCUGUUACCGGCUAGUC